UACAGAGGUCCCAAGCGUUGUUCGGAUUCAUUGGGCGUAAAGGGUGCGUAGGCGGCGCGGUAAGUCGGGUGUGAAAUCUCGGAGCUUAACUCCGAAACUGCAUUCGAUACUGUCGUGCUUGAGGACUGGAGAGGAGACUGGAAUUUACGGUGUAGCGGUGAAAUGCGUAGAUAUCGUAAGGAAGACCAGUGGCGAAGGCGGGUCUCUGGACAGUUCCUGACGCUGAGGCACGAAGGCCAGGGGAGCAAACGGG
rnacentral:rRNA from 1 species